UAGUCGCAGCCUUCUGCUUUUGCCCACAGGCUUUUGCCACUUGAGCUGAAGGAAAAUUUUCAGUUAUUCUGAUUAAUGCAAGGUUCUUGUUUGGGGUUCAUUUAGACUGUGCAAAGCUGAGAAGCUUCUAACGUGACCUUUCAAACAAACCUGGGGGAGGACUUUCAGAAGACUGUCAUUAAGUUUAUUGUUAGUGUAUAAGAACUACUGAAUCACAGCCUGAACCUCUGAUUGAUCACCUGAGGCAAGCAAUGAGUCAGAUGUGGGAGCACAGGUGAAGGCAAUUAAGCUGCGUGACCAGAAGGGGUGGAGCAUGGCUGCACCUCUUCUAGACCCCAUGUAAGGGCUGACUGCCACUAAGGAAAGAUCUCUCUCUGGAGGUUGCUCCUCUUGGAGUCAUCUUCUCUAAGCCCAGGAUGAAGAUGACACUUCCAGUUGGCAGCCAAGAUUUGACCCUUAUUUGGGAUCUCUGGAUGGGCAUGAUAUCUGCAGCAGUAACUGCAUUUUCUAAAUUCUCUCGUGGUCAGGCGUCGAGAUCAAGAGGAGCAAUGGAAGCUACAAUGAGCUGCUUCUGCACUGCCACUGGCCGGAGCCAGCCCAGGAGCAGUGCCAGUUGGCAGCCCGUUCUGCCUGAAAAGAGAGAGGGAUAGAAGGGGAUCCUUCCGGCAUGGGAUUGUUUGGUGCUUUCUCUGUUCUUUGCUAAGCUGAGACAGAUUUAGAAACAAAAUGUUCAGAAAAAAAGGGCUGGAAAGGUUUUCUGUAGAAAAAUAUUGUAAUGAAAUACUGUGGCUUGUCAGUUUUUUCCUUCAUGUUCUUGAGUGAAACUGUUGCUGGGAAUUUGACCUCAGGAUUCAGAGAGUUUCUGUGAAUCCCAACCUCCAUUUCAGGCAAGUGAGAUACCUACAGUAUGUCAGCACAAGACUGCUGGCCAUUUUCCCUACAAGAAUACUGAGCCCUCCCAUAUGUCAUUGAGAGAUUAGAGUAUAACUACGUUUGUUUGUUUGUUUGUUUGUUUGUUUGUUUUAAGCAAUUUCCUUUAGUGCUCAUUGAAUUGCUCCACGACACACUGAGCAACUUGUUUUCAUAUUACUACAUGCAGUUCUGCUGGAUGAAAUUUGUGUCGCAAAGUGUAUUCUCCGUUUUAAUCAAGCUCUCUUGGCCAAGGAAAGAAUGAUAUUUGAUAGGAAGAUGGGAAAUGAAUGCAAGGAAAAAGAUUUGUCUUUUCUGUCUACUAUCUGAAAAAUAAAAAUACCUAAUUUUAUUAAUGGGAUACCCAUCCAGCUGGCCUGGCUCUGCUGAGUACCAGUUGCAGUCACAAAAUCUCAGGCCUUUGGUGCUUUGAAGUCAACGGAGUUGUGCAUGGGCAGUGCCAUAAAAAGAAGAAAAUAGUCAGAAAGAAAAGUAAAGGCCACGUAUACCAUUUAAUUGACAUGACUUUGGAAACGCUUAUGUGAGCAAAGUAAUUAAAGGCCAAGCACUAGGGAGAGCAGGAAAAAAACUGAGAAGUAGCAAUUAAUUUAAAAUAUUUUGAUGUGUCUCUUUGCAAAUUCCAUCAUUUUCAUAACACAACACAACCUAGAGGUAACAUUUUGCAUCUUCAGUAUGCUACUCUAUGCUGGAUACAGACACCUACCAAAUACAGUAUGUCUAAGAGAUGUAUAAAAGAACCAAUUGUUUUGGCUUCAGCAUGAUGGUGAACUUUGAUGGCAUCCUACUAAAACACAUAACAUUUAUUGCCAUGAUAAACUGCUCUUGAGGGAGUGAUUUCCCUGCCCUCCCAGCUGGAGCUGUCGUGCUGCAAUGACAGAGUGGGUAAGGAAGGGACAGAACAAUAGCGAAGUCAAGGAGCUGGAGCCUGACCUUAACAGAGUGGGUGGUAUUUGCUGCAGUCCAGAAAAGCAAAUAACUCAUUCAAAGGUGAUAGAUUUUACUGGGGAGUGGAAAUAACAAAGCUGAGAAAUAAAGUAGAGCAAACAGAGUAUGAAAGCAUAUUAAAGUAACUGAAGGGGAGGGAACUUUUCAGUAGGUUUGAAUGCCGAGGGGAGAAAGAGAAAAAGAGUGAAAAAUAAAGAAAUAAAAUACAGGAAAGGGGAAAAGGGAUGGGGAAAUAAGAAGAGCACAAAAAAGAAAAGGAAAAAUAGACAGGAAGAUAAAAAAUAAACAAAAGGAGGGAAAAAAAGAGAAGAAACAGAAAAAAUACAAAAGAGAAAGUAAACAAAAAAAGAAAAAAGGAAAAAAGAAGAAGGAAGAAAAAAAUAUAUAUAUAUAUAAGAAAAAAGCAAGUCUCACAGUUGUGAGGUGGUCUUGAUUAAACGUAUCACUCAGUAACACGUCCAAAACACACCAAGCCAUGUCACGGAACACCUCGCCUGACAGCCAGUGUGUAAUUGAGUAGUUGUACAGGAAAAUUUGUUUCUGUUUUCUCUUAUUUGAGACCAGAUACUGCAGGACCUGCAGGCAGCAGCGUCCUUGGUCACUGUCUCAGUCAACACACAGGAGGAAAAAACAGCUUUUUUUUUUUGUUCAGUGCAAUAAUUACCUGUACGUUUUAACCACCGUGUCUAUUGCCUUAAUUUCUAUACAGUCUAAGAAUGAGAAAGGCCAGAGACCUACUCACCGAUCUAAAAAAUGAGGAGUUGCUUUGGUACCAAUGACCUUAAUCCUGUUGCACUUGCUGUGUGCAGACAAAACAUGACACCGGCCGCAAUGUGUGCAUUUGGAACUUGAAAGGGUUCAGUUCUCCAAAGCUGAAAUAAAUCAGUGUGAUGACUGACUAAAAAGUGGUAUUGUUCAAGGAUAUUUUAUUUGCUCAGAAAAACACUACAGAUAGGAGAAAGUAUUCUGGCUGAAAGGAGACACGGAAGCUGCAACACACCAUAAAUAUGCAUCUAGAAUGACAGAAAAGGAAAAAAAAGUGUCACUGAAUUAAAAUUACAAGUUUAAAAGUCUCAUAGCUGGGAGUGUUCCAAAACACAUGUAAUAGAAAGUACUCUCUCUCAGGGGCAGCUCCUGCACAUAUUGCAUUAAAGUGUUUCAAAAUAGCGGUGUAUUUAAUCUUAGUGUGCUUUUGGAAACAGAUGUCUCUUUAGACUCCAUGUAACAGAGGGGAGACUGGUAAAGAAAAAUUCAGGGAUGUCUCCAGCAUCAGAAUGUUUAGUAGUAGAGCAAGAGAAACCCCACUUUUGGCAGUUCCUGGGGAGAGGGUGAGUG